rnacentral:rRNA from 1 species
ACAUGCAGGUGAUCGCCGUUGAAAGACGGUUUCCUCUUCGGAGGCACCUGCACAGGUGCUGCAUGGCUGUCGUCAGCUCGUGUCGUGAGAUGUUGGGUUAAGUCCCGCAACGAGCGCAACCCUUAUCCCUAGUUGCCAUCAGGUAAAGCUGGGAACUCUGGGGAGACUGCCGGUGAUAAACCGGAGGAAGGCGGGGAUGACGUCAAGUCCUCAUGGCCCUUACAUCCCGGGCUACGCACGUGCUACAAUGGCAGGUACAGAGGGCUGCGAAGCCGCGAGGUGGAGCGAAUCCCAGAAAACCUGUCUCAGUCCGGAUUGAAGUCUGCAACUCGACUUCAUGAAGGCGGAAUCGCUAGUAACCGCGAAUCAGCAGGUCGCGGUGAAUACGUUCCCGGGCCUU